UACAGAGGUCCCAAGCGUUGUUCGGAUUCACUGGGCGUAAAGGGUGCGUAGGCGGUCGGGUAAGUCUGAUGUGAAAUCUCACAGCUUAACUGUGAAACUGCAUUGGAUACUAUCCGGCUCGAGGAAUGGAGGGGAGACUGGAAUACUUGGUGUAGCAGUGAAAUGCGUAGAUAUCAAGUGGAACACCAGUGGCGAAGGCGAGUCUCUGGACAUUUCCUGACGCUGAGGCACGAAAUCCAGGGGAGCAAACGGG
rnacentral:rRNA from 1 species